AUGAACGCUGGCGGCGUGCCUAAUACAUGCCAGUCGAGCGAACAGACGAGGAGCUUGCUCCUCUGACGUUAGCGGCGGACGGGUGAGUAACACGUGGAUAACCUACCUAUAAGACUGGGAUAACUUCGGGAAACCGGAGCUAAUACCGGAUAACAUGUUGAACCGCAUGGUUCAACAGUGAAAGACGGUCUUGCUGUCACUUAUAGAUGGAUCCGCGCCGCAUUAGCUAGUUGGUAAGGUAACGGCUUACCAAGGCAACGAUGCGUAGCCGACCUGAGAGGGUGAUCGGCCACACUGGAACUGAGACACGGUCCAGACUCCUACGGGAGGCAGCAGUAGGGAAUCUUCCGCAAUGGGCGAAAUCCUGACGGAGCAACGCCGCGUGAGUGAAGAAGGUCUUCGGAUCGUAAAACUCUGUUAUUAGGGAAGAACAAAUGUGUAAGUAACUAUGCACGUCUUGACGGUACCUAAUCAGAAAGCCACGGCUAACUACGUG
rnacentral:rRNA from 1 species